UUCUCUGGUUCCAUUGGGAAGUAAAAAGUCGUAACAAGGUUUCCGUAGGUGAACCUGCGGAAGGAUCAUUACCGAGUGAGGGCCCUCUGGGUCCAACCUCCCACCCGUGUUUAUUUUACCUUGUUGCUUCGGCGAGCCUGCCUUUUGGCUGCCGGGGGACGUCUGUCCCCGGGUCCGCGCUCGCCGAAGACACCUUAGAACUCUGUCUGAAGAUUGUAGUCUGAGAUUAAAUAUAAAUUAUUUAAAACUUUCAACAACGGAUCUCUUGGUUCCGGCAUCGAUGAAGAACGCAGCGAAAUGCGAUACGUAAUGUGAAUUGCAGAAUUCAGUGAAUCAUCGAGUCUUUGAACGCACAUUGCGCCCUCUGGUAUUCCGGAGGGCAUGCCUGUCCGAGCGUCAUUGCUGCCCUCAAGCACGGCUUGUGUGUUGGGCUCCGUCCUCCUUCCGGGGGACGGGCCCGAAAGGCAGCGGCGGCACCGCGUCCGGUCCUCAAGCGUAUGGGGCUUUGUCACCCGCUUUGUAGGACUGGCCGGCGCCUGCCGAUCAACCAAACUUUUUUCCAGGUUGACCUCGGAUCAGGUAGGGAUACCCGCUGAACUUAAGCAUAUCAAAAGCCGGAGGAAAGA
rnacentral:rRNA from 1 species